AUUUAUUAAAACUAUGAUUUAUUAAAAAAUUUAAUGUUUUUAAAAGAAAUAAAAGAAAUUAAAAAAAAAAUAAAAAUAGCAACAUGCAAACACCAAUGAGUUUUAAAUGAGCUCUUACCAAAAGAGAGGACAUUGCAGAACUUAGCCGAUUAUAAUGUGCGUGAGCGAAAGUCGCCGUACGUAGCGGCGCGGUUUCGAGAUAUCAAUAUCACCGAAAGCCGAAAGUAAGUUCUCUCCAUUAGUUAUGUGAAACAAU
rnacentral:lncRNA from 1 species